rnacentral:rRNA from 1 species
CAGUCGCCACGGUAAUACGAAGGUCCCGAGCGUUGUUCGGAAUCACUGGGCGUAAAGGGAGCGUAGGCGGCGUGGUAAGUCAGAUGUGAAAUCCCGGGGCUCAACCCCGGAACUGCAUCCGAUACUGCCAUGCUAGAGGAUUGGAGAGGUAGCUGGAAUUCUUGGUGUAGCAGUGAAAUGCGUGGAGAUCAAGAGGAACACUCGUGGCGAAAGCGAGCUACUGGACAAUAACUGACGCUGAGGCUCGAAGGCCAGGGUAGCGAAAGGGAUUAGAUACCCGCGUAGUCCCUGUCUCUUUACA